rnacentral:rRNA from 1 species
CCUACGGGUGGCUGCAGUCGAGAAUCAUUCUCAAUGGGGGAUACCCUGAUGCUGCGACGUCGCGUGAGGGAAUGAAGGUCUUUGGAUUGUAAACCUCUUUCAUGUGGGAGCAAAGUAAAGUGUUAGUACCACAUUAGGUAUACACUGCUAACUCUGUUUCAGUAGCUGCGGUAAUACAGAGGUCUUAAUCGUGGUUCGGAAUGACUUGUCGUGAAGCGUUCGUAUGCUGGUUCGUGAGUCGUGGGUGUAAGGCGCGGGCUCAACCCGAGGACGGCAACUGAUACUGUGAGACUAGAGUAAGGGAGGGGGAAGCGGAAUUCGCGGUGUAGCAGUGAAAUGCGUAGAUAUCGAGAAGAACGCUCGUGGCGAAGGCAGGUUACUAGACAUCAACUGACGCUGAGGCACGAAGGCCAGGGGAGCGAAAGGGAUUAGAUACCCUGGUAGUC